GUCGAAGUCAUUACUGGAGAAUCAUUUGCACGGGUCUGCGAGCACAGAAAUCACGAAACAUGAAAGAAUUUGUAUGAACUGGUUUUCAUUGCUCUUGACCAUGAGGUUCAUUAUAGUCCAGCUUCUCUUCGAGAGCCUGUCUUCGAUGUGCAAAGGACAAAACCGAGGUGCCCCAUGUCAUCCUGCGGGGGCGACCUGGA